UGAGGAAUAUUGGUCAAUGGACGAGAGUCUGAACCAGCCAAGUAGCGUGCAGGAUGACGGCCCUAUGGGUUGUAAACUGCUUUUGUUUGGGAAUAAUCGACAUUACGUGUAAUGUUUUGCAUGUACCAUUCGAAUAAGGACCGGCUAAUUCCGUGCCAGCAGCCGCGGUAAUACGGAAGGUCCAGGCGUUAUCCGGAUUUAUUGGGUUUAAAGGGAGUGUAGGCGGUUGGUUAAGCGUGUUGUGAAAUGUAGGAGCUCAACUUCUAGAUUGCAGCGCGAACUGUCAGACUUGAGUGCGCACAACGUAGGCGGAAUUCAUGGUGUAGCGGUGAAAUGCUUAGAUAUCAUGAAGAACUCCGAUUGCGAAGGCAGCUUACGGGAGCGCAACUGACGCUGAAGCUCGAAGGUGCGGGUAUCGAACAGG
rnacentral:rRNA from 1 species